GUUUGAAUAUUGAGUGUUUUGUAUUGUGUGAAGAUAUUACUAUUAAUAAUGCUUUAUAUACACUAUAUAUUUAACAAUAUGUAUGAACGAAAAUUUCAAAAUUUAACAAUAAACGUUGAAUUCAUAUCCUUAUCAGAGAUGUGUAACAUUGGCAGGAUAAUACUCUACCCAGUUUUUGUUGUAUACUGCUUUAAAACAAAAUUAGUUUACUUUAAUGAUGAUUUAUUAACACCGUAAUAUGAAAAUGUAUGAAAUUGUAACAUGCACUACCAACUGAGAAAAUGUCUCGUAUAAAUGUUUGACCCCCGGAGGGAAAUAGUGUUAAUGUUUACCCUCCUUAACAGGGUGUCCAGUUCUGGCCCAGGUUGCAAAUCCAGUGCCAAAAUUGGUUUCCGAAACCAAAUCCAGUUUGGGCCCAGCUAGCGAAGCCAGUGCUGAAAUAUUUUCCAAAUGUAGAGAUGAAGUUCAACUGGGUGCCUGAAAUAUUUCCCAAAUGUCGAGUUGAGGUUCAACUUGCAGACAGUGCCAAAAUAUUUUUCAAAAGCAUGGCAAGCCUAGAGCAGGCUCGGUGUGCAAUUCAUCGCUGAAGAGUUCUUUUGGACUUGAUGCUUUGAACCUGAUACGGACAUACACCCCUGGCAGAAAAUUGAUAAAAAUAUCAAAGAACAAGG